UGCUUGCAGGUCGUAAACAUGUACAUAGCACACAUUUGGGAGUGUGACCUUUGCUUUGGCUCUGCCUCUUAUUCUACAAGCAUAUGCAGCCUUGUACUCUUGGCUGCCAUCUCUUUGCAUUGCAACGCUACCUCAAAACCUUCAGUACUUCUAUAUUCCUUUUAAAGUCUGCCGUUUUUUGGUUUCUGUACAAGGCUCUCGCUCUCUCUUUUCCCACUGCUUCCUGCAUAUCUUGGAAGUUAUGAUUGGCAGCAGCAAGUGAGUGCCAGGAAAUGAAAACUAACGACUUCCUCCAUUUCACACUUAAGAAGCAAUCUGCUCUAGUAAUUUUACGCACCUCGAAGAAAGAAGUCUCUGAAACGUGUCGGGUGGGGUCUAUGCGAUUUGCCGUGGUCUUAUUAUCACGGUAGCUUCAGCCUUCUGUCACCUAGGAGUGAGUGGUCACAGUGACAUCCUCUGGCUGCAUCAUGACACUGAUCAGACUCGGGUGUUGGCACGUCUCCAGACGUAGAGCAGCCGAGGUUCAGGUUUCCCUGCAUUGGAAUAAAAAACAUUACAGUGAGAUUGGUCACUUCAAGCUAUAGUGACAAUUCAGCAAGCAUGUUUUGGUGUAACAAAACUCUCCAUACUGACCUUUUCUAUGAACUCCGAUACCCAAAGUAUUAGGGACUAGCGCAGCCAAGAAGAGGUCCAUGCUACUGGCUCAAACCUGCUAACACAGUUGCUGGGUAAACCACUAUAUAAGCUGAAACCAUGAAAGACAACUAUUGUUAAAUUCUAACUUUGCAAAUAAGAUUAGGUGGAAUUUACUUUCAAGGGAAAAUCUGGAUUUUCGUUGUGAAAAUGCUGCAAACGACAUUCACAUCGCUCAGGCCGCUUACAUGAAUCAAAGUGGAAUGUCGGAGAAGUAGAUAAGAAUUCUAGGACAAUUAUACUGUACAUGAAGGCGCUUGCUGCAAGCUGGAAGCUUACAUUGCAAUAUGUUCUCCGCAGCAGGAUCGAAGUAUAUUCAAUGCUGGAAAGAUGCAAGCAGUUGAAAAAUGCUUGUUAACCUAUUUUUUCUUUUCAGUUUUGCCUGCAAGGCCUCAGCUUGUCACGUUGUUAGAUCUGGCUCUCAUCAAAGAAGCCAUCACUCAUGUUCUUCCUGUUUCCUCACAUCCCAAGCCUACAGCACGGCUUUUUGGAGCACAAUCAAAAGUCGAGUAUGAUGCUUACUCUACAAUGUAAUGGUACAUUCUUAAUAAAAACAAAAUGCGCUGAAUAAGUGAGUGACACAAAUAGGUUAUACUGUAGGUGCGAACUACAGAAGUGCUUGUCAACCCUUGAAAAGUCAUGCUUUCCGGGUUUCCUUGUUAGGACACAAGUCUAUUACCUAGCAAUAAUUUAAAUAAAUACAUUUAGGGUCCUUUAAUCUGUGAACAGAUCCCCAUGCUGAAUCAGCGCAAAAUGUGACGAAUGUCACUUUAGUGACAUCCAUACCCGUUCAGUUUUUGUCCACAUUUUGAAAGUGGACUGUGACUGACCUGUGUAAUAAAUUGCAAUGCUGAGAAUGAGACCACCCAGAUAGCAAGGAUAACUUGCCACAAAUUUGAGUUGAAUUAUAAGUCGUUAACUUGUUGCACAUUUUCACUGGUAAGAGCACUUGAAACACAAGUUCUAGUUGACACUUUUCCAAUUGGUAGCAAAUUUGCAUGGCAAGUCUCUAGCAAGAGCAAAGUUGCAGUGUUGUGUCCCCAGCAAGGCACAGUGAGUGGGGUGACUAUUGCACAACAUAACUGAACCAGAACUUGCAAGAGAAUUUCAGAAUAUUUGCAAAGAAAUGUGAUCUUGAGUCAUGCAAUAUGGACUUGCUGCAGUUGUACAAUAAACUUGUGAAUCUUGGAAAGUCUAGUAAUAGCUUAGCAAGUCAUUUUCAAUGACUUGCUAUCUGGGUAAUCGGUUGUGGUAGCCAACGCCAUCAAUAAUGUUCUUACAUCAGUAAAAUAUAUUGCAAUGUUAGGAAAAAAACAACUCACAAGCUAUCAGUCUAUCACAAAAGCUGCUGCCAGACUCAUCCACCUUCUAGCCAACCCUUCAGUGUCGGCUACCCCUCUGUGAUAAAUUCAAAAUACUAACAACUUAAAAAGCCAUCCACAACAAGGCCCCCAGCUACAUCACCAACCUAGUCUCAGAAUACCAAUCAAUUCGAUCUCUUUGCUUCUCCCAAGACCUCCUGCUCUCUAGCUCCCUUGUCACCUCAUUCUAUGCUUGUCGACAGGACCUCUCCCAAGCAUUUCCCAACUUGUGAAACUCCCUACCCCAAUCUAUCCAACUGUCUCCCACUCUGUCCACUUUUAGGCAAUCACUGAAAAACCUUCUCUACAGAGAAGCCUAUCCUGCCCCCACCUAACAACUGUACUUUUAUUUUCUCUAACAGCUCACCCCCCCACCCCCACCCUACACUUAUAAACUUUUGUAUCACUUAUCCUUUUAGGUUGUAAGAUCUAAUGAGCAGGACUAAAUAAAAUAUUUGAUGAUGGACUUUGAAGGCACCACAGUAACAAUGUUAAUACAAUUCAAUUAUCUUUAUUAUAUAUUAUAAAAAUUGACAAUGUUAAAAACAUUGUCCAUUCACAAUGAAGAGGGCCCUUUGAUUCCUACUGUACUGAAUUGUAUUGUAACUGUACCAUCUGCCCUCAUGUUGUAAAGCGCUGCACAAACUGUUUUGGGCUAUAUAAAUCCUGUAUAAUAAUAUUAAUUGCAAACAAAAUGUCCACAUCUACAACCAAAUAAAUAUGUUCUACUGUAAGCUGUA